GAUGAACGCUGGCGGCGUGCCUAAUACAUGCAAGUCGAGCGAAGCGGGGCUGGGUGAGUAACACGUGGAUAACCUCCUAUAAGACUGGGAUAACUUCGGCAAACCUGAGCUACACUCGAUACUUAUAGAUGUAUCCGCGCUGCAUUAGCUAGUUGGUAAUUUAACGGCUUACUAAGGCAACGAUGCAUAGACGACCUGAGAGGGUGAUCGGCCACACUGGAACUGAGACACGGUCCAGAUUCCUACGGGAGGCAGCAGUAGGGAAUCUUCCGCAAUGGGCGAAAGCCUGACGGAGCAACGCCGCGUGAGUGAUGAAGGUCUUCGGAGCGUAAAACUCUGUUAUUAGGGAAGCGGUACCUAAUCAGAAAGCCACGGCUAACUACGUGCCAGCAGCCGCGGUAAUAC
rnacentral:rRNA from 1 species